GGGAGUGUGUGCUGGGAGGAGAGGGGUGUAUUACACGGAUCCUAAGUGAGCUCAGUUCAGGUCUGUUUCUACGUUCAGGAAUGGGAAGAUUCCACCGUCUCAAGAGGUGCUCACUGCCCUUCUCCUGGGCAGUUAAAAGAGAGGAAGGGGGGAAGGAAAGAGAGAAACACCAAUGUGAGAAAUGUGGACCAGUUGCCUCUUGUACAUGCCUCGAGUGGGGACCAAACCCUCAACCUAGGCAUGUGCCCUGACCAGGAACUGAACCUGCAACCUUUUGGUUUAUGGGACGAUGCUCUAAAUAACUGAGCUGCACCUACCAGUUAAAACCAUGUCUACUCUUAUGUUCUACUCAUUCUACUGUUCAAGGGCUUCUUUAAAUGUUCCAUUAAUCAACUGGGACUCAAAUCAACAAUGUGGACCAGAAGGAAGAAAUAGACAUUCAACUGGAACAGAAUGAAGAAACAGAAUGAAAAAAACAGAGAGGCUUA